AGUGGAGAGACAAGAUUCGUGCAUGAAAUAAUUACGACUGUUGUAGAAAAAAGAAAAGCCUGUAGGUCUCCCUUCCUCCCUCCUUCUCUCUGUCUACCUCAGCAUUUCUGGGGUUCACUCUGCUCUGGGUACUGUGUAAAGGACUCCACAGCCAUCAACUUCCCUUCAUCCUUGCCGUGUCUUUGAAAGAGCUGAGAUUUCUUUACAUCACAGUGGUUCAAGGAGAAAAACACAGCCAGAUCCUUCCUCAUCUCAACAUAAAUUAAACCCAGAGGCAGUCAGCGCCACAGUCCACACUCGUAACCGUUACACUCACCUGGAAAUAAAAGUAUUUUUGUGCGGGGACUGCAAGGACUAAGCCCGGCCGCACUCCGAGUUUCUCCUCCUCACAGUGACUCAUUGCUCAGGUGAGGAAACUGAGGCUCAGAGAGGGUCCGUGGCAUGUCCAAGGUUACUCUGCUGUGUCCCCAGAGGCAAGGAACUAUGUGAGCCACUCCAGUGUUCCCAGCCCCAAGGCCAGGCACAGUGGACAUUUAUUGCUGAAUGAAUGAAUCAAGAGAGAGGAUCAGAAAGCUGCAGAGGAUGAUAGAUCUGCAAAAUUCUCCCUGGGUGAGGCCCAGGCUCAGCUUCCAGAACAGCUCCAUCUGUCUCCCACUCACUGAGAUUGAACUAAUGUCCCACAGUUGGACAGACCUGAAAUUGAGCUCUGUGAUUUUGGAUACCUGCCCCUCUGCUGGAGAUUCUGCAUGUCUGAGGUACCAGCCAUUGCCAGAAACUGGGCUAUGUUCUCUCCUUUCAUUGUGCCAUUUCAUUCUCACCCCAAAAUGAAAACACACAAAAAAAUC
ensembl:lncRNA LINC01141 long intergenic non-protein coding RNA 1141